UCCGGUUGAUCCUGCCAGAGGUUACUGCUAUCGGUGUUCGCCUAAGCCAUGCGAGUCAUAUGUUCUUCGUGAACAUGGCGUACUGCUCAGUAACACGUGGAUAACCUGCCCUUGGGUCUGGGAUAACCCCGGGAAACUGGGGAUAAUACCGGAUAACGCAUAUAUGCUGGAAUGCUUUAUGCGUAAAAUGGAUUCGUCUGCCCAAGGAUGGGUCUGCGGCCUAUCAGGUAGUAGUGGGUGUAAUGUACCUACUAGCCUACAACGGGUACGGGUUGUGAGAGCAAGAGCCCGGAGAUGGAUUCUGAGACAUGAAUCCAGGCCCUACGGGGCGCAGCAGGCGCGAAAACUUUACAAUGCGGGAAACCGUGAUAAGGGGACACCGAGUGCCAGCAUCAUAUGCUGGCUGUCCAGAUGUGUAAAAUACAUCUGUUAGCAAGGGCCGGGCAAGACCGGUGCCAGCCGCCGCGGUAACACCGGCGGCCCGAGUGGUGAUCGUGAUUAUUGGGUCUAAAGGGUCCGUAGCCGGUUUGGUCAGUCCUCCGGGAAAUCUGAUGGCUCAACCAUUAGGCUUUCGGGGGAUACUGCCAGGCUUGGAACCGGGAGAGGUAAGAGGUACUACAGAAAGUAGGAGUGAAAUCUUGUAAUCCCUGUGAGACCACCUGUGGCGAAGGCGUCUUACCAGAACGGGUUCGACGGUGAGGGACGAAAGCUGGGGGCACGAACCGGAUUAGAUACCCGGGUAGUCCCAGCCGUAAACGAUGCUCGCUAGGUGUCAGGCAUGGCGCGACCGUGUCUGGUGCCGCAGGGAAGCCGUGAAGCGAGCCACCUGGGAAGUACGGCCGCAAGGCUGAAACUUAAAGGAAUUGGCGGGAA
rnacentral:rRNA from 1 species